CGGACGGGUGAGUAACACGUGGAUAACCUACCUAUAAGACUGGGAUAACUUCGGGAAACCGGAGCCAAUACCGGAUAAUAUAUUGAACCGCAUGGUCCAAUAGUGAAAGACGGUUUUGCUGUCACUUAUAGAUGGAUCCGCGCCGCAUUAGCUAGUUGGUAAGGUAACGGCUUACCAAGGCAACGAUGCGUAGCCGACCUGAGAGGGUGAUCGGCCACACUGGAACUGAGACACGGUCCAG
rnacentral:rRNA from 1 species